rnacentral:lncRNA from 1 species
UUUCCUUAAGAAUUUUUACAACUUUGCUUAUGAACUUGAUUGGCCUAUAGUUUUUCUUUUUUGUAAUAUCUCAUUUGGAUUUAGUACCAAGUAUGUAGAAGCUUCAGAAAUCUAGUUAGGAAACAGAGAUUUCUAGUUGCCUUUAAUAGUCACUUCCCCGCAUUUCUAAAUAACAGGAAUCCAGUUUUAGAUCAACACAAUGAUAACCACAUUCCCUGGACCCUUGUAGCUGGGUUUGCCAUAUGACUGCAUUUGAAGAAUGAAAGAUGUAAUUGCUGCAGCUCUAGCAGCUGUGCUGAGCCAGAGAGGUGAGCCGGAAGGAGCUGAGUCCUUGGAAGUUUCCUGGAAUGCUGUACCACCUCUGAGCUUCCUACCUCUGGACAGCUUCCACAGAGAAAAGGUAAGCUCCUACCAAGUUUAAACCAUGCAUCUUAGCUUCUUCACUCACAAAAUAAAUAAUCUUGGGACACAUAACCUCUCUGACCUCAGUUUCCUCCUAUUUUCUAUGCUAUGAGAAAAAGACCUGAGGUGUCUUGAUUACUUUUCUCUCAUUGCUGAGACAAAAUACCCAACACCCAGAACUAAC